GAUGAACGCUGGCGGCGUGCCUAAUACAUGCAAGUCGAGCGAACAGACGAGGAGCUUGCUCCUCUGACGUUAGCGGCGGACGGGUGAGUAACACGUGGAUAACCUACCUAUAAGACUGGGAUAACUUCGGGAAACCGUAGCUAAUACCGGAUAAUAUAUUGAACCGCAUGGUUCAAUAGUGAAAGACGGUUUUGCUGUCACUUAUAGAUGGAUCCGCGCCGCAUUAGCUAGUUGGUAAGGUAACGGCUUACCAAGGCAACGAUGCGUAGCCGACCUGAGAGGGUGAUCGGCCACACUGGAACUGAGACACGGUCCAGACUCCUACGGGAGGCAGCAGUAGGGAAUCUUCCGCAAUGGGCGAAAGCUUGACGGAGCAACGCCGCGUGAGUGAUGAAGGUCUUCGGAUCGUAAAACUCUGUUAUUAAGGAAGAACAAAUGUGUAAGUAACUAUGCACGUCUUGACGGUACCUAAUCAGAAAGCCACGGCUAACUACGUG
rnacentral:rRNA from 1 species